AUUCCAUGUCUGCCUGAGAUAAUCAACUUCAAAAGAAGAAAAGUUUAUUUUGGCUCAGUUUUAGAGGUUUCAUUCCAUGACCAGUGAACCUGUUGCUUUGGGCCUGCAGGGGCACAUUUAAGCAGAUGCAUGUGGCAGAGCAGAGCUGUUCACCUCAUGGCCUGGAACAAAAUAGAAAGGAAGAGGAAGCGGGAGGCAGUUGGGGUCCCUCAGAGCAUAUCCCCAGUGACUUGAGACCUCCCGCUAGGCCCCACCUCUUAAAGGUCCACUGCUUCCCAAUAGUGUGCCCUUCUGGAGGGAAGGUUUUACCAAAUGGGCUGUUGGAGGACAUUUCAGACCUAAGCUGAACAAUACUUAUUAUGUGACAAGCACUGUGCCAGAUACAUAGAUGAAGAUAGAGGGCAUAUAUGAGCUUUCCUUCAUUGAUUUAAUCAGCAUCUACUGAGUCCCUACCUCAAGUCAGACAUUAUUCCGGGCACAAAGCAAUGUAGAAAACAAGACAGUGGCUCCUCAUGUUAUGGAGCCUAGUCACAGGAG
rnacentral:lncRNA from 1 species